rnacentral:rRNA from 1 species
CCCGACUGCUAUCGGGGUGAGGCUAAGCCAUGGGAGUCGCGCGCCCCGCCGCCGCGGGGCGCGGCGUACGGCUGAGUAACACGUGGCUAACCUGCCCUCGGGACGGGGAUAACCCCGGGAAACUGGGGCUAAUCCCCGAUAGGCGAGGGGGCCUGGAAGGGUCCCUCGCCGAAAGGGACCUCAGGGGGUUAUCGCCUGGGGUCCGCCCGAGGAUGGGGCCACGGCCCAUCAUGGUAGUUGGCGGGGUAAUGGCCCACCAAGCCGACGACGGGUAGGGGCCGUGGGAGCGGGAGCCCCCAGAUGGGCCCUGAGACAAGGGCCCAGGCCCUACGGGGCGCACCAGGCGCGAAACCUCCGCAAUGCGGGAAACCGUGACGGGGUCACCCCGAGUGCCCCCGUAAGGGGGCUUUUCCCCGCUGCAAGGAGGCAGGGGAAUAAGCGGGGGGCAAGUCUGGUGUCAGCCGCCGCGGUAAUACCAGCCCCGCGAGUGGUCGGGACUCUUGCUGGGCCUAAAGCGCCCGUAGCCGGCCCGGUAAGUCCCUCCUUAAAGCCCCGGGCU